rnacentral:rRNA from 1 species
UACAGGAGGUGCAAGCGUUGUUCGGAAUUAUUGGGCGUAAAGCGCGUGUAGGCGGCUAUGUAAGUUGGGGUGUGAAAGCCCUCGGCUUAACCGAGGAAGUGCGCCCAAAACUGGCAUUGGCUUGAGUACCGGAGAGGGUGGCGGAAUUCCCGGUGUAGAGGUGAAAUUCGUAGAUAUCGGGGAGGGAAACACCGAGCGGCGAAGGGCGGCCACCUGGGACGGAUACU